rnacentral:rRNA from 1 species
UGAUGGCGACCGGCGCACGGGUGAGUAACGCGUACCCAACCUGCCCUUGUCCAUCGGAUAACCCGUCGAAAGGCGGCCUAACACGAUAUGCAGUUCACAGCAGGCAUCUAACGCGAACGAAAUGUGAAGGAGAAGGAUGGGGAUGCGUCUGAUUAGCUUGUUGGCGGGGUAACGGCCCACCAAGGCGACGAUCAGUAGGGGUUCUGAGAGGAAGGUCCCCCACAUUGGAACUGAGACACGGUCCAAACUCCUACGGGAGGCAGCAGUGAGGAAUAUUGGUCAAUGGGCGAGAGCCUGAACCAGCCAAGUAGCGUGCAGGAAGACGGCCCUAUGGGUUGUAAACUGCUUUUAUGCGGGGAUAAAGUGAGCCACGUGUGGCUUAUUGCAGGUACCGCAUGAAUAAGGACCGGCUAAUUCCGUGCCAGCAGCCGCGGUAAUACGGAAGGUCCGGGCGUUAUCCGGAUUUAUUGGGUUUAAAGGGAGCGUAGGCCGUCUGAUAAGCGUGUUGUGAAAUGUCGGGGCUCAACCUGGGCAUUGCAGCGCGAACUGUCAGACUUGAGUGCGCGGGAAGUAGGCGGAAUUCGUCGUGUAGCGGUGAAAUGCUUAGAUAUGACGAAGAACUCCGAUUGCGAAGGCAGCCUGCUGUAG